GAGCCAGGCAUGGGAAAGAGACCAGGGAAGAUAUGAGGAGCACAGAUGCACGGUACCACAGCGGAGGCCUCAAAGCUCAGAAAGCAUCAUGGAAUGUCAGAACACAGUCCAAGCAUGGAGUUGUGUGGUCAGAUUUCUGAAUGCUUGUAAGAAAAUGGGACAAGACUCUUGCAACCUCAGCUUCUUCAAAAACAAAAAACAGAAUUGCUCUUGGAAUGUGCUUGCGUGCCCAUUCCAGGUGUAGUGGACUGGAGUGAGAUUACUUCAGAUUAUUCAUUACAACUGGCUGUUGUUAUUUGUUUAGACAACUCUAUGGAGAAACACAUUUUGCCCUGUGUGUCCUUGCAAUUAAACAUCUUACUCCUGUGAUUCUUCUUAACCCCUGAGUAUAAAUUGCCCAAUGCUCUGAAUAAAGCUGGCGAUUGCACGAAAAAAAAAAAAAAA
rnacentral:lncRNA from 1 species